ACAGAACUGUACUGAAAGCGUACAUCAGAUAUAUUUCAUACAUAUGAUGAAAGAGUAUGCAUCGACAUUAGGUAAUAAUAUUUGUAUGUGUAACAAAACAUAUGUAAAUGUAAUGGAUAUUUGAUGUUAUUAAAAUUGCUAUUCCAUAUAGAUAAAUAGCAUAAUUCACGUAUUACAGGCCAAGAUAUAUGUGUUGUAAGUAUUCGAUGCUUUUCAAAUGAUAAUAUCUGGAAACAUGGUUAUAACAGAGUAAUCCAUUGUAUUUUAUAUAGAAAUGAACUUUUUAUAUUUCAAACAUUACGAUGAUGCAGAACGAUAGCGCAUUUGUUACAGAUCAUGCAAUUUCAUCUCAAGUAGAAUAGUUUGUUAAUCGAUUCUAUCUCAAAUAGAAUAGUUCGAACAUAUAAUUUUUCAUAUUCUAUUUCAAAUAGAUUAUGCAUAAAAGAUCUCACACAGACAAGUUGUAUUGAUUAAACCCUAAACCCUAAACCCUAAAUCAUAAACCAUAAAUCCUAAACCCUAAACCCUAAACCCAAAUAUAAUCUCUAAACCCAAAUAGAAUAGAACAAAAUAAAUAACACAAUACAUACUGGUAAAAUUAUAAAAUGUAUAUAAUUGCAUGGAAAGAAGUUAAUGAUGACCUAACCAUACCACCUCGCCUUUUAAAUACUAAACCCUAAACUCUAAUCACUAAACCCUAACCCAAAU
rnacentral:lncRNA from 1 species